rnacentral:lncRNA from 1 species
GCCGCUCAGGCAGGAGGAGGGUGGGGGCUGUCCCCUCGCUGUGGUACCUCGCGGCGGAGCUCCGGCAGCGCCUGGCUGCCUUUUGGGAUGGGUUUUUAGCUGCGUUUGUAACUCCUCUGUUGAGUUAAUAUGAGAACAGUGAGAGUCACGUAGGUUUGGGGUAGCAAGUGUUGGUGUCUGAGCCAGGGAGCGCCGGUAAGGUAGACAGAAGGAUGGGGGAGAGAAAUUUGAGAUUAUAAUCCUCCUGCCCCAAAGAUGUAAUGCUACGCUCACAUAAAGUUUUCCUCAGGUGUCUCAGUUACAGAUGAGUUUCAAAAAGCAAACGUGCCACAUGGCUUAUGUGGUUCAAGCUGAAGGUCCUACUCAGAGCACUAAGGCCCAGACCUCAUGUCAGUGUGUUCUGCUGUUCCUGCCUGCCCUCCAACAGCUGUCAUUUUCUUCUGCACCCAUUUUUAGAAAGUGACACGGUCCGGUGUGUCCUGUAUACUGUUUAUUGGCAACUCAACCCUUGCUGCCUGUCCCCCGUGUGAAAGCGCCUACCUUCAAGUUUCAUCAAUGAACAUUUUGAAAACGGUUAAUGAAAAGCAUUAAGCAGGUUCUGAGUAACAUGAAAAUGUCUCCUGAGAUGUAAAAUAUUUUCUCCGAGGUACUUGGCUUUGGGAUGGUUGCCAUGCUGCUUAAAACAAUGUUGUAAAAACCUAUUGGCAGUUGAGAUUCGUGACGCAAAGCCCUAAGUAAAUAAUAGGUAUAGCCUUGCAAUGAUGGAAUUUUCAUAUCAGUUGCACUGGAAAAUAUUUUCAGACUGUAUCUUCAUGGACUGCUCAUAAAAGAAGUACUGGUGAAGUCUGUCAGCGGAGCAAAAAAUAAGCUGCUUUAUUGUCGUGAAUAAAUUAAAAGUAUUUUUAGCUGUUGAGUUUUCUGUUGUCUUGUUAAUAUAACUCUUCUGGUUUGGAAACGAAUGAGCAGCAGCUCUGUCAACCAGCCGCAGUUUCCCAAAUCGAAAAGCUAAUGGUUGAACUGGCGUUUGCUUGAGGACGGUGAAAUUAUGUGGAUGUGGGAGGCCAUUUGACUGUAAAGGUGUGCGGACCAGGGUGUCUGGGGGAAGACUGAAAGCGAGAGCUGCGGCUGGCAGUCUGAAAUAGCUGCGCUGGGGAAGGCUGAAGUUUGCCUUCCCCGCUUCUGCACAUGCUGCUGCUUCCUACACAGCUGCCUGAGCUGCUUCUGAGUCAGCUUCUGAACCCCAUGGUUUCUACGGAGUAUUUAAAGGCACACAGCGAUGAUGCCAGGUUAUAAGCUGCAGGCUCCACAUCUAAUUCAUAAAAGUCUGCCGUGUCCACAGAGAAUGUUGUGAAUAGUAAUUUUCUGCCAGGCUGUUCCCACUCUUCAAUCAGAGCCUUCAGUGUGCACCGAAGCACUGAUUCUGCAAAGCCUUAUGUGCGUAUCUAAGUUUACUCGGAAGAAAACUCAUUAUCAUUCAUGAUCGUUAUUCACAACAGAGAAGCAA